rnacentral:lncRNA from 1 species
GGUAUCUUUCAACCGGUAACCAUCAUCGGUAUCUUUCAACCGUUAAUCAGCAUCGGUAUCUUUCAACCAGUAACUGGGGAAUAUUUCACCCCCUACUACUAACAUGCAAUCAACAGACAUAAGCAUACAGUCAGGCAUAUCCGGGUACUGACCUACCCUUGGGUCCUAUGGACUACUAUUAGGGAAACUAAUCCCUUCUAAACACAUAACAUAUAAUCCAGAUAAAUCACAUAACCAGUCCAAGAUAAUUAUCACAAAGACCAUUAUCUUAUAAACACCCAUUUUCGGUGGGUCGGCAUUGUGGCCUUAGACCCACCCCUACUGGAAGGUAACUCACCUCAAUGCCGUACAGUGUCUGAAAUAUCCCCGGCACACAAGUUGACUCCCUACGACUCCUCGAUCCCUACACGACAACCUCCAAGUUAACACACAUCACAUACAACCCUAAACNAAACUUAGUCAAAGUCAACAUUGGUCACAGUCAACUCGUCGAGUCCAUGCUCCUCUAAUCCCACACAAACCCCAUCUCUACUCGUCGAGCCUAGCGUAACUCGACGGGUUCUCCUUCAAUCAUAACAUCGGGACCCUCUUCAACCGACUCGCCGAGUUCCUCCUUGAACUCGUCGAGUUCAUCUCCAUCAUAAGAUUACUAUGGACUCGCCGAGUUGCUCAUACCACUCGCCGAGUCCCAUGACUUCCAGGUCCCCUUUUUGCGUCUAAACCCACAAGGGACGUCCCUCCUAACAUUUACCCAUUCACAGGAAGGGUUUGGUGCACAAUGGUCACCAACUCGUUGAGUGCCAAGAAAGACUCGCCGAGUCCAGUCUUGAACAACUCCAUACAGUCGAUUUAAAUGAGGUCCAACACAUCAAAACCAUAGAUCUGGCCUCCAAAUGUCCAUUUUAUACGCAAAGUUCCAAACUUGAUGCACAUGCAUGGGGUUUUUAGCUCAAAAAUCCAAACAAAGUGGCUUACAAUGUGCAUGGGGCUCUCAUGGCCCUAAAGCUGGCACCUUUAUGCCAUGAGACCCCUCUUAAGGCCCAGAUCUGAAGCUAAAGUCUACAUAACACUCCUUAAAUCCGAAAAUGGCUUAAAAAGCCCCAAAUGCACCCAAGAUCCACAUUCUAAAGAUGAACAACCAAAAAGGAAGACCAAGCAUGGGCAUUUUACCUUGAUUAAGCUGGAGAUGGAAUGAGAUUUCUGGAUCUACAAGCCCGAAGUCAAAUACUCAAGCUCUUCUUCUUCCUUCCAAGCUUCACAAGUCAACAAAAGCAACAAAAUGGCCUUAACACACACACACACACACACACAAACAACUAGGAUUUCGUUAUGCAGCUCUGGGAGAGUGUUAGCGACAAGGGAGGUUGAGUUAAUGUGUUUAUAUAGGGUGCAAACCCUCAUAUUAGGGUUUUUUUCCAGAUAGCACGGACUCGUCGAGUCAUCCACUUAACUCCCGUGUCCAAUACGCUUCUACUCGACGAGUUGGGCCACCAACUCGCCGAGUCUCAGGCCAAAAUGCAAAAUACUUUAUUUACAAAUAUGUACCAGGAACUAGGUGUUACAAAUCUCCCCUGCUUAUUUUAGACUUCGUCCUCGAAGUCUGUAGACCGAUCCUGAAACAGCUCAGGGUAAUGCUCCAUCAUCUCGUCCACCGGCUCCCAGGUCCACUCCGAGCCCCUUCGGUGCUGCCAUUGCUACUUUACCAGCUCCACUCUCUUGUUCCUUAGAUCCUUUGACUUCCUGUCAAGGAUCGCCACUGGCCGCUCAAUGUAGUUCAGACCGUCAUCAACCUGAAUGUCCUCUAAAGGCACUACUGCCGAAUCGUCCGCCAAACAUUUUCGCAACUGGGAAACGUGAAAGGUGCUAUGAAUCUGACUGAGUUCGGCUGGCAGAUCCAGCCUAUAUGUCACCUUGCCCACCCGGGCUACAACCCUGAAAGGUCCAAUAUACCUAGGGCCCAACUUGCCUCACUUCCUGAAUUCCAAGUCGGAUCAUAUCCCCGACCUGGACUCUUCCAAGGUGACACCUUCAGGAGGACCAUCUCCCCGACCUGGAAUUCCAAGUCGGAUCAGCGUUUGUCGGUAUAACUUUUCUGCCGACUCUGAGCAGUCUAAAGCCUGCUCCGGACCUGCUGGAUCCUCUCCGUAGUCUGGAGUACUACUUCGGUACUCCCCAUAACCCUCUGACCAACCUCACCCCAACAUAUCAAGGUCUUGCACUUCCUCCCGUACAACAUCUCGAAGGGAGGACGGUCAAUACUCGCGUGAUAGCUGUUGUUGUAUGAGAACUCAGCCAAAGGAAGGUAAGUAUCCAUACUACCUCCAAAGUCUAAGACACACACCCGCAACAUAUCUUCCAAGGUCCGGAUGGUCCGCUCACUCUGUCCAUCUGUCUGCGGGUGAAAAGCGAUGCUAAAAUGCAGAUGAGUUCCCAGCUCGUCAUGGAACUUAUUCCAUAAUCUGGAAGUAAACCGAACGUCUCUAUCUGAAAUCACCGAUACUGGCACCCCGUGCCUCACCACCACCUCCCGGAUAUAAAUGUCGGCCAAUUUUUCGGCUGAAAUACUCUCCUGAAUCGGGAUAAAAUGGGCGCUCUUGGUCAGUCGAUCGACAAUGACCCAGAUCGAAUCUGCUCCUAGCGCGGUCUUGGGAAGCUUUGUGAUAAAAUCCAUCGUGAUGUCUUCCCAUUUCCACAGCGGGAUAUCCAACGGCUGCAUCUUGUCGUGAGGUCUCUGAUGCUCAUCCUUGACCUUCCUGCAGGUCAAGCACCGCUCUACGUACCAUGCCACAUCCUGCUUCAUGCAAGGCCACCAAUAGUCCAAAUGAAGAUCCCUAUACAUCUUCGUCGCCCCGGGGUGAAUGGAGAAUCGAGAUUUAUGUGCCUCCUCCAUCAAUACCUGGCGUACACCCCCAUGAUACGGGACCCACACCCUAUGGUGCAGAGUCAACAACCCCCGGCUGUCAUAGUCAAAGGAGGAAACUUGACCCACAAUCCGCUCACUCUUCCGANUGUUCAUCCUUCAUGGCCUCCUGCUGGGCCUCCCGGAUCCGCUCCAACAGCGGAGUCACCACUAUCAUCCUCAUACAGAUAUCCCUGAUCGACACUGCCUUGCGGCUAAGUGCGUCGGCCACCACAUUGGCCUUUCCCGGAUGGUAAAGGAUCUCACAAUCGUAAUCCUUUACUACAUCAAGCCACCGACGCUACCUCAUAUUCAGAUUCGGUUGGUCCAUGAGAUACCUCAGGCUCUUGUGGUCCGUGUAAAUCGUACAACGAACCCCAUAGAGGUAAUGACGCCAAAUCUUGAUGGCGAACACGACAGCCCCCAGCUCCAAAUCAUGUGUCGGGUAAUUUGCCUCGUGAGGCUUCUACUGCCUUGACACGUAGGCGAUGACAUGCCCUCUCUGGAUCAGUACUGCGCCCAAACCUGAGAUGGACGCAUCGCAAUAUACCAUAAAAUCCUCCAUGCCCUCUGGCAGGGCUAAGAUUGGCGCCUCGCACAAUCUCUGUCUCAGAGUCUCGAAUGUGGCCUGGUGCUCAGGCCCGCAACGAAAGACCACGACUUUCCUCGUUAGCCUAGUCAGGGGUACGGCUAUCUUGGAGAAAUCCUGGAUGAAUCUCUGAUAGUAGCCGGCUAAUCCUAGGAAACUCUGAAUCUCGGAUGGAGACUUCAGAACCUCCCACCUCAUCUCGGCCUCCACCUUGGCCGGGUCCACUGAGAUCCCGUCCUGGUUGACGAGAUGCCCAAGGAACUGCACCUCGCACAACCAGAACUCACACUUGGAGAACUUAGCAUAUAAGUUCUCCUUCCUCAAAGUCUCCAGAACCUCCCGCAGAUGCUCCUCGUGAUCCUCCUGCAUCUUGGAGUAAACCAAGAUAUCAUCAAUAAACACUAUCACAGACCGGUCUAACAUCGGUCUACACACGCGGUUUAUGAGGUCCAUGAACGUGGCAGGAGCAUUGGUGAGCCCGAAGGGCAUCACCACAAACUCGUAGUGGCCAUAGCGCGUCCGAAACGCAGUCUUCUGCACAUCCUCCUCUCUGACCCUCAUCUGAUGGUAUCCAGAAUGCAGAUCAAUCUUGGAGAACCAAGAUGCUCCCUAUAGCUGGUCAAAGAGGUCAUCAAUCCUCGGAAGUGGGUAACGGUUCUUCACCAUUACCUUAUUUAGCUCCCGAUAAUCUAUACACAUCCGUUGCGACCCGUCCUUCUUCUUCAUAAACAAGAUCGGGGCUCCCCAGGGAGAACUACUCGGUCUAAUGAAUCCUUUGUCUAACAGCUCCUACAGCUGUACAGACAACUCCUACAUCUCAGGAGGAGCCAGCCGAUAUGGUGCCUUGGCUAUCGGCGCCGCAUCGGGGACUAGGUCGAUCCUGAAUUCCACCUGCAUCUCUGGAGGUAUCCCAGGCAACCCCUCGGGGAAUAUGUCCGCAAACUCACUCACCACGGGCACUUCACCCACCGUCGCCUUACCCGCCUCCCGGGUGUCCAUAACAUAGGCGACAUAUCCUGCGCAACCUUGCUGAAGGUAACGCCUAGCUCUCGUUGCUGAACAUACCGCUGGUCCUUGCUGCGGCCUCUCGCCCUGAACUACCAACUCUCCCCCCCUUGGGGUUCUGAUCCGAACCAUUUGAUGCGCGCAAUCUAUCACUGCCCCGUUAGGGCUCAACCAAUCCAUGCCUAUAAUCACCUUGUUCCCCCUCAAUAGAAUGGGAACCAGUUCUACUAGGUAACGCUCCUCGAACAGCCUCAAAACACAGUCUCGAUAAACCUCCGAUGCUCACACCGACCGAUCGUCCACAAUCUCAACCUCUAGUGGGCAAUCCAACAUGCCCGAAGACUCCGGAAAGUUCAUGCUAAGCGCAAGAGAGACAAAAGAUCGGGUGGCACCCGAAUCAAACAACACCUAAACUGGGAUUCCGUUCACAUGGAACAAUCCUAAACGAGGCACAUGAUAUAUCAAAAUCACAGCGACAUAAUAUAAAAGCGUAAGGAUAAGAAAUCAUACUCGUCACCACAUCGGGUGCAGCGCGUGCCUCCUCGGCUGUCAGCUAAAAUGCUCGGCUCUGAACCACUGGAGCCUCCAUCUUGGCCUUUCGGCCAUCCACCACCCGUGUUGUCGCUGGAGUUGGCUCCACAACCGGCGCCGUUGCCGCUGCUACUGUCAAUCUAGGGCAAUUGGCCUUUUAUGGCCCUUCUGAUUGCAAUGAAAGCAAAUCAGGUCAGAUAUCUGAAUCGCAGGAGUAGGGGCAAUACAAUCCCUGCCAAAAUGCCCAAUCUUGUCGCACUUAUAGCAGCCUGACCCCGGCCCAGUGCGGCAAGCUCCAUCGUGUGACCGACCUCAUUUUCCACAGCGGUCCCGCCCAAACUGGCCUUUCGACCUACCAUCGGAUCCCUUGGGCUUCUUCCCCGAAGCCCCUAUCGUCUGCCCCUUAGCGGCCUUCCUCUUCCAUAUGUGCUCCAAAUCAAUCUCUCUCUCUAGCCCUAGCAAUCAUNGGGAAAGCUGAAAAACUGACAUGCUCCUGGAUGUCAGCCCGUAACAUGUCAUGGUAGCGGGUUCUCUUCAUGUCCUCAUCACCCGCAUAUUGGGGCACCAACAAAGCCCUCUCUCGGAACUUGGUGGUGAUCUCCGCCACAGUCUCCGUCAUCUGUCUCGUAUCCAAGAACUCCCUGGCCAGCUGCUGAAGCUCUACAACUGGCACAAACUCUGCUCUGAACCGGGUCACAAAAUCCGACCAUGUCAUAGCCUCAACAGCCGAGGCUCCCAAAGAGUCACCAACCGACUCCCACCAGUCCCUAGCCUGAUCCCUCAAAAACCCUGCUGAAAAUCGUACAUUCGACCCCUCGAGGCAGAAGCUGGUCAGCUAUGCAGACUCAAUGUCCGCAAUCCAUUGUCUGGCAGCAAUGGGGUCCUUCGCCCCGUGGAAAUCUGGCGCACCACUCCCCCUGAAUUCCUUAAAGGACAGUGUGCGUGGUCCUGACUGGCUAGCCGCCAUGUCACUCCGGAAUGCCCUGAGGCGAUCCUCCAUCAGCUCAAUGAUCCCUUCCUUGAUCGACCCGAAGAUAACCGGUGUCGCAUCAAGGAUACCCCUCGUGAUCUCGGACGCAAUGAAAUCGUGUAACCCAUCAUCCACAUGCUUGGAUCCUGCCCCCGAGCCCGAUCUGAUCUGGAUCCUGAACCUCUUGCUCUAUGUCGCAUGACCACCAUUCUGAAACAAUAACAUACGAAUGUCAGGGUCACAUAUACUUUCUUGGAGAUCUCACACACUUUCCAAGUCUCCCGGUUCCAUCUCGGCCCUCCUUGAUUCGAGUACGGAUCCUCUGCUUUCAGUAGUACGGGCCCAUAAUACCUUCCACAUCUAUCCGUACUUUCCUCAAGAAUUGCUUUGACUUCACCAAGUCCCUUUUACCGAUACCCUUUCCACUGACCUCAUCCUAGGCUUCCCUAGGGCACUCUCCGACCUACUCUCCGCCAUCAGCUGCACUGGGAGUCCCCACCACCUCCCCCUAACUAGAUUGUGGAUACUGUUACAUAUCCAUUCCUUAGUUAGUUGAAGUUGGUCAGAACCCCCAUAGCACAAAGCAAGCAGCAUUCGGGCUUCGAGUAAUCACACCAGGCAUAACCUAUACAGGCCAUCCUACUACUGACUAAACAGUCCUAGCAUACAACUCAUACAACAGGCACAUAAGGCAUUCUUCCUAGAUCCUUAGCCCUAACUAGCAUGCAGUUCUCAGAAUCAUAUAUCAGGCACACAAGGCAUCCUCCUAGAUCCUUAGUCCUAUUCUAGCAUGCAGUUUUCGGAAUCAAAACCAGAUAAAAUAACAUAACAAGUAUGGGUAUCUUGGGGAAAACUUACUUGAGCCUGGCCGGUCGCACGCAUCACACACUUCAUCUUUCUUAAAAACUUCUCAGUUUAAACUUUAGUAUACCAUUCUUUUUGAAAGACCUUUUUGUCCCUUGGUUUCAGUCCAGACACCCCCGAGGGUGUGUCCGAAUCCCUCAAACCAGGGCUCUGAUACCAACUUGUAACGACCCAAACUUCAAGGCCAAAAAUUUCAUUUUUGAAUUAACGCGUUUAGCAAACAUUUUUACCAAAACAUUAUCAAUAAACAUUCAUUACAAAAUAAUAAUGUUGUAUUUUAAACCAUAACAUCAUAAGUAUAGAAAAUCAAAGUACAGUCCCAAAACUUCUUGCGGAAACAUGAGUGUGUGUGAUGCGCUGCUACGCCGCCGACUCCUUCCCCUUCGACGAAGAGCUACCUGAAACCAAAAACCAAAACUGUAAGCACAAAGCUUAGUGAGUUCCCCCAUCAUACCACAAACCACACAAUAUCGUCGGUAUCUUCAACCGGUAACACUCAUCUGUAUCUUUCAACCGGUAACCUUCAUCGGUAUCUUUCAACCGGUAACCAUCAUCGGUAUCUUUCAACCGGUAACCAUCAUCGGUAUCUUUCAACCGGUAAUCAGCAUCGGUAUCUUUCAACCAGUAACUGGGGACUAUUUCAACCCUUACUACUAACAUGCAAUCAACAGACAUAAGCAUACAGUCAAGCAUAUCCGAGUACUGACCUACCCUUGGGUCCUAUGGACCACUAUUAGGGAAACUAAUCCCUUCUAAACACAUAACAUAUAAUCCAGAUAAAUCACAUAACCAGUCCAAGAUAAUUAUCACAAAGACGAUUAUCUUAUAAACACCCCUUUUCGGUGGGCCGGCAUUGUGGCCUUAGACCCACCCCUACUGGAAGGUAACUCACCUCAAUGUCGUACAGUGUCUGAAAUAUCCCCGGUGCACAAGUUGACUCCCAAAGACUCCUCGAUCCCUACACGACAACCUUCAAGUCAACACAUAUCACAUACAACCCUAAACAGGGUCGAUCCAAACUCAGUCAAAGUCAACAUUCAGUUGACCUGACUCGCCGAGUUGGCCUACCAACUCGUCGAGUCCAUGCUCCUCUGAUCCCACACAAACCCCUUCUCUACUCGUCGAUCCUAGCGUAACUCGAUGGGUUCUCCUUCAAUCAUAACAUCGGGACCCUCUUCAACCAACUCGCCGAGUUCCUCCUUGAACUCGUCGAGUUCAUCUCCAUCAUAAGAACUUGUCCAGUCU